rnacentral:rRNA from 1 species
AAUUAGUGGCAGACGGGUGAGUAAUGCAUAGGAAUCUACCUAGUAGUAUAGGAUAGCCACUAGAAAUGGUGGGUAAUACUGUAUAAUCCCUGCGGGGGAAAGAUUUAUCGCUACAUGAUGAGCCUAUGUUAGAUUAGCUAGUUGGUGGGGUAAUGGCCUACCAAGGCAGUGAUCUAUAGCUGGUCUGAGAGGAUGAUCAGCCACACUGGAACUGAGACACGGUCCAGACUCCUACGGGAGGCAGCAGUGGGGAAUAUUGGACAAUGGGCGCAAGCCUGAUCCAGCUAUGCCGCGUGAGUGAGGAAGGCCUUAGGGUUGUAAAACUCUUUCAGUGGGGAAGAUAAUGACGGUACCCACAGAAGAAGUCCCGGCAAACUCCGUGCCAGCAGCCGCGGUAAUACGGAGGGGGCAAGCGUUGUUCGGAAUUAUUGGGCGUAAAGGGCAUGUAGGUGGUUUGGUAAGUUAAAGGUGAAAUGCCAGGGCUUAACCCUGGAGCUGCUUUUAAUACUGC